rnacentral:rRNA from 1 species
AGUGAACGCUGGCGGUAGGCCUAACACAUGCAAGUCGAACGGCAGCACAGUAAGAGCUUGCUCUUACGGGUGGCGAGUGGCGGACGGGUGAGGAAUACAUCGGAAUCUACUUUUUCGUGGGGGUUAACGUAGGGAAACUUACGCUAAUACCGCAUACGACCUACGGGUGAAAGCAGGGGAUCUUCGGACCUUGCGCGAUUGAAUGCGCCGAUGUCGGAUUAGCUAGUUGGCGGGGUAAAGGCCCACCAAGGCGACGAUCCGUAGCUGGUCUGAGAGGAUGAUAAGCCACACUGGAACUGAGACACGGUCCAGACUCCUAAGGGAGGCAGCAGUGGGGAAUAUUGGACAAUGGGGGCAAGCAUGAUCCAGCCAUGCCGCGUGGGUGAAGAAGGCCUUCGGGUUGUAAAGCCCUUUUGUUGGGAAAGAAAAGCAGCAGGUUAAUACCCAGCUGUUCUGACGGUACCCAAAGAAUAAGCACCGGCUAACUUCGUG